UGAGGAAUAUUGGUCAAUGGGCGGAAGCCUGAACCAGCCAUGCCGCGUGAAGGACUAAGGCCCUACGGGUCGUAAACUUCUUUAGACGCAGAGCAAUAAGGUCCACGCGUGGACCGAUGAGAGUAUGCGUAGAAUAAGCAUCGGCUAACUCCGUGCCAGCAGCCGCGGUAAUACGGGGGAUCCGAGCGUUAUCCGGAUUCAUUGGGUUUAAAGGGUGCGCAGGCGGGUCUGUAAGCCCGUGGUGAAAGCCUGGUGCUCAACGCCAGAGGUGCCGCGGGAACUGCAGGUCUUGAGUCGUGACGGGGCGGCGGAAUGCGAAGUGUAGCGGUGAAAUGCUUAGAUAGUUCGCAGAACGCCGAUUGCGAAGGCAGCCGCCCAGGGACGCACUGACGCUGAGC
rnacentral:rRNA from 1 species